rnacentral:lncRNA from 1 species
GAGUUUUCUGAGAGUGUCUCAGAUCUGAAACUCCUCCUUCUACUUUCUAUCUUUGGAAGAGUCCAAAUCAAGAAGAAGGAGGCACCUGAUCAACCAUCAAAGAAGGAUCAGCGCAGUACUAGCAUACUGUGCUGAUUUUCUGAAGCAGGACUUCUGAUCGAGAUUCGUGGGCUCGUGUGGACGACUCCUAGAGGCCAGAUGUGUGUGCGGCUUGCAACAUCAUCCUCAAGCCCGGAU